UGGGGAAUAUUGGGCAAUGGAGGAAACUCUGACCCAGCAACGCCGCGUGAGGGAGGAAGGUCUUCGGAUUGUAAACCUCUGUCCUCGGGGACGAAAGAAAUGACGGUACCCGGGGAGGAAGCUCCGGCUAACUACGUGCCAGCAGCCGCGGUAAUACGUAGGGAGCGAGCGUUGUCCGGAAUUACUGGGCGUAAAGGGUGCGCAGGCGGCCCUGUAAGUCAGAUGUGAAAGCCCGGGGCUUAACCCCGGGACUGCAUUUGAAACUGCGGGGCUUGAGUGCAGAAGAGGCAAGCGGAAUUCCUUGUGUAGCGGUGAAAUGCGCAGAUAUAAGGAAGAACACCGGUGGCGAAGGCGGCUUGCUGGGCUGUAACUGACGCUGAGGCACGAAAGCGUGGGGAGCAAACAGG
rnacentral:rRNA from 1 species